AAUCAUUUUAUCUUGAUGAAAACUCAAGAGAAAGUA
rnacentral:tRNA from 1 species